rnacentral:lncRNA from 1 species
CUGAGUGCGUUGCUUGAAGGACACACUCUUGUUCGGAUUCUUCGACACUUUGCCCUUCUGGAAAGUGUACGGCUUGCUGUUGUCGUCGUCCAGGAAGUCCUCUACCCCGAAGAAGCUUCUCGGGGCAUUGUGUGCCUGUGUUGUGAAGCAGAUAGCAACUAUAAGUCAGAGUAGCUAGUUCACCGUAAAUGCAAGAAUGAUUAAAUAGUGUAACGGGACAUUUCUAUCACUGUUCUUUCACGAAUUUAUCAUUAAACCUUAGAUGUCUAGCAUCAUCGGUUCAUUUCCUGGUACUGUUUCAAAUGCUCUUCAUCCUACAAUUAGCUUAGGUUUCUUCCCAUGGCACCAGUCAUCCAUGAUCA